rnacentral:rRNA from 1 species
AUUGAACGCUGGCGGCAGGCUUAACACAUGCAAGUCGAACGGUAGCAGGAGAAAGCUUGCUUUCUUGCUGACGAGUGGCGGACGGGUGAGUAAUGCUUGGGAAUCUGGCUUAUGGAGGGGGAUAACUACGGGAAACUGUAGCUAAUACCGCGUAAUAUCGAAAGAUUAAAGUGUGGGACCUUCGGGCCACAUGCCAUAAGAUGAGCCCAAGUGGGAUUAGGUAGUUGGUGGGGUAAAGGCCUACCAAGCCGACGAUCUCUAGCUGGUCUGAGAGGAUGACCAGCCACACUGGAACUGAGACACGGUCCAGACUCCUACGGGAGGCAGCAGUGGGGAAUAUUGCGCAAUGGGGGGAACCCUGACGCAGCCAUGCCGCGUGAAUGAAGAAGGCCUUCGGGUUGUAGAGUUCUUUCGGUAUUGAGGAAGGGAUGUGUGCUAAUAGUAGACAUCAUUGACGUUAAAUACAGAAGAAGCACCGGCUAACUCCGUGCCAGCAGCCGCGGUAAUACGGAGGGUGCGAGCGUUAAUCGGAAUAACUGGGCGUAAAGGGCACGCAGGCGGUUAUUUAAGUGAGGUGUGAAAGCCCCGGGCUUAACCUGGGAAUUGCAUUUCAGACUGGGUAACUAGAGUACUUUAGGGAGGGGUAGAAUUCCACGUGUAGCGGUGAAAUGCGUAGAGAUGUGGAGGAAUACCGAAGGCGAAGGCAGCCCCUUGGGAAUGUACUGACGCUCAUGUGCGAAAGCGUGGGGAGCAAACAGG